rnacentral:lncRNA from 1 species
UAUUUACAGAUUAGAAGGCAGAAAUUCUAAGACUGUUAACAGUUGUCAUUGCCUACCAAACUCAUGGAUUUCCAUCAGCAGUUUCUAAAAUUUAUGCUAAUAAGAUUAAUAUCCUGGAUUUAAUGAAACAGUGUCUAUAGAGAGAUCUGAGAUCUGGCAUAAGAUCUGAGAAAUAGGUCCCUGUACUUUUGGAAAUUCUAAGGUUGUCAAUUUGGUUCGAGUUUUCAUCAGAGUUGGAUUAACAGCUGGAAGAAGAGUUGUCUCAUCUAAACAUUCACCAGGGGGCAAUGAGAAAAAUCUAUUAAAUUUGACAUAGGACAAUGGUACUUACUCAAUAAGACACUUUGAACAUUUGUA